GUGGGGAAUAUUCCGCAAUGGACGAAAGUCUGACGGAGCAACGCCGCGUGAGUGAUGAAGGUUUUCGGACUGUAAAGCUCUGUUGUUUAGGACGAAAGUGCCUGUUGCGAAUAGUUACAGGUAUUGACGGUACUGAACGAGGAAGCCACGGCUAACUACGUGCCAGCAGCCGCGGUAAUACGUAGGUGGCAAGCGUUGUCCGGAGUUAUUGGGCGUAAAGAGCAUGUAGGCGGGAAUCUAAGUCUGUUGCGAAAAUGCGGGGCUCAACCCCGUAUUGCGAUGGAAACUGGGUUUCUUGAGUGCAGGAGAGGAAAGGGGAAUUCCCAGUGUAGCGGUGAAAUGCGUAGAUAUUGGGAGGAACACCAGUGGCGAAGGCGCCUUUCUGGACUGUGUCUGACGCUGAGAUGCGAAAGCCAGGGUAGCGAACGGGAUUAGAAACCCUGGUAGUCC
rnacentral:rRNA from 1 species